CGUAGGGUGCGAGCGUUAAUCGGAAUUACUGGGCGUAAAGCGUGCGCAGGCGGUUUAGUAAGACAGGCGUGAAAUCCCCGGGCUCAACCUGGGAACUGCGCUUGUGACUGCUAAGCUAGAGUACGGCAGAGGGGGUGGAAUUCCACGUGUAGCAGUGAAAUGCGUAGAGAUGUGGAGGAACACCAAUGGCGAAGGCAGCCCCCUGGGUCGAUACUGACGCUCAUGCACGAAAGCGUGGGUAGCAAACAGGAUUAGAUACCCUGGUAGUCCACGCCCUAAACGAUGUCAACUAGGUGUUGGGAGGGUAAAACCUUUUAGUACCGGUAGCUAACGCGUGAAGUUGACCGCCUGGGGAGUACGGCCGCAAGGUUA
rnacentral:rRNA from 1 species